UGAUUGGAUCGCCCUUCCUACGGGAGGCAGCAGUGGGGAAUAUUGCACAAUGGGCGCAAGCCUGAUGCAGCCAUGCCGCGUGUAUGAAGAAGGCCUUCGGGUUGUAAAGCGCUUUCAGCGAGGAGGAAGGCGUUGCAGUUAAUAGCUGCAGCGAUUGACGUUACUCGCAGAAGAAGCACCGGCUAACUCCGUGCCAGCAGCCGCGGUAAUAAGGGCGAUCCC
rnacentral:rRNA from 1 species